rnacentral:rRNA from 1 species
AGUUUGAUCCUGGCUCAGAACAACGCUGGCGGCAUGCCUAACACAUGCAAGUCGAACGAGACCUUCGGGGUCUAGUGGCGGACGGGUGCGUAACGCGUGGGAAUAUACCUAUUGGUUCGGAACAACACAGGGAAACUUGUGCUAAUACCGAAUGUGCCCUUACGGGGAAAGAUUUAUCGCCAAUGGAUUAGCCCGCGUCCGAUUAGCUAGUUGGUGAGGUAACGGCUCACCAAGGCUCCGAUCGGUAGCUGUUCUGAGAGGAAGAUCAGCCACACUGGGACUGAGACACGGCCCAGACUCCUACGGGAGGCAGCAGUUGGGAAUCUUGGACAAUGGGGGAAACCCUGAUCCAGCCAUGCCGCGUGAGUGAUGAAGGCCUUCGGGUUGUAAAACUCUUUCGACGGGGACGAUAAUGACGGUACCCGUAGAAGAAGCUCCGGCUAACUUCGUG